rnacentral:lncRNA from 1 species
UGAGGGAAACUGAGGCCCUGCUUAUGGUGGCCCAGAACCAGACAGGGAGAGCACACAGACCUCCUCCCUGUGUAUUUUGUGCCUCAAUAACCCCAACAGGGGAGUAGGACAAAAGAAAUAGUGGAGGCUCCAAGCAGUGACUGACUGCUGAAGUAAGGUUUGGGACUUGGGCCCCUGACUUCUGAUGAUCUCUGUCGCCUCUCUCUUCCCAUUUUCUGUACCUGGGAGAGGAUGUGGCAGUAAAGACAACAGGAGGUACUACUUGACCCAGAACUCCAGAUUAGGCCUCCAAACCAGUACAAUGGCCAAGGUCCCCCCUCACCAGGUCAGAGGCAAGGCACAUAGGAACUCAAAGCAGGCUGGGUACUUGGGGAACUAAAGGAAUGCAGCUAGAGAGCCUCAAGCCACCUCCAGGAGCUGAGUGAUCUGCUUCCAGCCUCCUGUUACCUGAGGAGGAAGAAGGCUCCAUCCUCAUUCCUCUUUCCCUGUCCCCAGCCAUGGCUCUGCUAGAGCAAUGCUCUCUCUGGGCUUCUUGCAGUUUCUCAGAAAGAGGGCAGCGUCCCUGAACCAGCUCUCAGUUCCGCACACCUUCCUCAGCAAAGCCCACCCUGCCCCACAGUGGCUCCCUCCCCAGCCCCUAGAAGGAGCUCCAUCCUCCCCUCUCACCUGAGGUGCUGCUGGUCCUCAGAUUGGAGACUAUUUAUCAGACAACCCCAUGGUUCCUGGGAUGCAGGUAAAAGCACAAGAGCACAGAGACGCACGGCUGCCCACGCACGCACGCACACACUGCUCUUGCCAGCCCUUGAGAUGCAGGGGCGCGUGGGCGGUCUUGGGCUUGCACUCUCACGCCAUAGAUGCACAAUGCCAGGGAACAGAGUGGGGGGUGGGGGUGGGGGUGGGGGCUUUAGCAGCUCUGUGGCCUGGGCAUUCCUCCACGGGCCUUCACUCCUGUCGUCCCGUUUGAACUUUGUGAAAAA